rnacentral:misc_RNA from 1 species
AUUGAUUGAUUGUAUUGACCAAUCAGGAUGUUAUAUCUGUAAGCAUUGCUUUGUUUCUGUUAUUUUGUUUAUCCAAUCAGCUGUUUGCAGAAAGAAAUUAGUACUGUAUUUUGCCCUGCUAGCUAUAAUCAGGAAUAUGGAUUUUUGUGUAUGUACAGUUAUUGUAUGGUAACUUUGCCUGCUGUGCAGACAGAAAAAAAUUAAGAAUGAUUGAGUGUGAAAAGUAAAGCAUGAUAACACAUAAAUAGUAUUACAGUAAAACACUGUUAUAGCGAACAUGCUUAUAAUGAAUUGACGCUUACAGCGAAGUGAAUUUCAUUCCCCAAGACUAAUUCAUGUUGUAAACUUGACGGAUAUAACGAAUUACGCUUAUAUCGAAGUUUAAUUGCCCGUCCCUGGGACUUCGUUAUAAGCGUGUUUUACUGUACAAUCUUUCAGAUGUAGCAUAUGGAUGGAACUGAUAAUGUACUUGGGAGUAAAAAUGAGCAUUUUUUGUACUGUAAGAAAUUUUUACUCAUUUUUACAAUUUGGAACAGCAUUUGAAAUCAAAAUUACAGUUUCCCAGUGAAUUACAUAGUACAUGUACAAAGCUUUGUAUAUUGUUUGUGAAAGUGCAAACUACAAGAUUAGUUUAUUGUUUGUGAAAGUGCAAACUACAAGAUUAGAAACAAUUUGUUUUCAAGGAGUUGGUGUGGUUUUAGAUACAACAAUCCUGUAAAUAAUUUGAUCAUGCAAUUCAAUUAAUUUAAUGAAACGCAAAAUCUAGUUUGCUGUAGUAAAACAUUUCAACUGGAUUUUAAUAUGAUUGGUUUUUAAGAAGCUUGUACAACUGAUACUGAUGAUGACGUGUAAUUUAUAUCUUGUUUUGUUAUAGCUUAUUUCAAUGUGUUUUUUUUCUUCAGACUUUGUAAUUUUGUCCAUCCUGUUCUAUGUAGCCAAUCUAUUUACAUGUACCUGUAUUGUACAUGGCGGCAUCAUACCUGUGUUGUUGUUGACAAAUUUACAGGGGGCUAUGGCAUUGUGAUUUAAUUUUUUUUGUUAUGAUGUAAAUAUUGAGAAAAUAAAUUAUUUUUAAG